rnacentral:rRNA from 1 species
UAGGGAAUCUUCGGCAAUGGACGCAAGUCUGACCGAGCAAUGCCGCGUGAGUGAGGAAGGCCCUCGGGUCGUAAAGCUCUGUUAUCAGGGAAGAACGCUGAGGAGAGUAACUGCUCUUCAGGUGACGGUACCUGAGAAGAAAGCCCCGGCUAACUACGUGCCAGCAGCCGCGGUAAUACGUAGGGGGCAAGCGUUGUCCGGAAUUAGUGGGCGUAAAGCGCGCGCAGGCGGCUAUUUAAGUCUCAUGUAUAAACCCAGGGCUCAACCUUGGAUCGCAUGGGAAACUGGGUGGCUUGAGUGUAGGAGAGGAAAGUGGAAUUCCACGUGUAGCGGUGAAAUGCGUAGAUAUGUGGAGGAACACCAGUGGCGAAGGCGACUUUCUGGCCUAUAACUGACGCUGAGGCGCGAAAGCGUGGGGAGCAAACAGG